rnacentral:snRNA from 1 species
CUGUGUUGUAGUUUUUUAAGCAUUUGUCUAACAGGUUUUCCAGUUUUUACUAGAAACUCCCCC